UGAGGAAUUUUGGACAAUGGGGGAAACCCUGAUCCAGCCAUCCCGCGUGUGCGAUGAAGGCCUUCGGGUUGUAAAGCACUUUUGGCAGGAAAGAAACGUCAUGGGUUAAUACCCCGUGAAACUGACGGUACCUGCAGAAUAAGCACCGGCUAACUACGUGCCAGCAGCCGCGGUAAUACGUAGGGUGCAAGCGUUAAUCGGAAUUACUGGGCGUAAAGCGUGCGCAGGCGGUUCGGAAAGAAAGAUGUGAAAUCCCAGAGCUCAACUUUGGAACUGCAUUUUUAACUACCGGGCUAGAGUGUGUCAGAGGGAGGUGGAAUUCCGCGUGUAGCAGUGAAAUGCGUAGAUAUGCGGAGGAACACCGAUGGCGAAGGCAGCCUCCUGGGAUAACACUGACGCUCAUGCACGAAAGCGUGGGGAGCAAACAGG
rnacentral:rRNA from 1 species